AGUGAACGCUGGCGGUAGGCCUAACACAUGCAAGUCGAACGGCAGCACAGUAAGAGCUUGCUCUUACGGGUGGCGAGUGGCGGACGGGUGAGGAAUACAUCGGAAUCUACUUUUUCGUGGGGGAUAACGUAGGGAAACUUACGCUAAUACCGCAUACGACCUACGGGCGAAAGCAGGGGAUCUUCGGACCUUGCGCGAUUGAAUGAGCCGAUGUCGGAUUAGCUAGUUGGCGGGGUAAAGGUCCACCAAGGCGACGAUCCGUAGCUGGUCUGAGAGGAUGAUCAGCACCACUGGAACUGAGACACGGUCCAGACUCCUACGGGAGGCAGCAGUGGGGAAUAUUGGACAAUGGGCGCAAGCCUGAUCCAGCCAUACCGCGUGGGUGAAGAAGGCCUUCGGGUUGUAAAGCCCUUUUGUUGGGAAAGAAAAGCAGCAGGUUAAUACCCCGCUGUUCUGACGGUACCCAAAGAAUAAGCACCGGCUAACUUCGUG
rnacentral:rRNA from 1 species